GUCCACGGCCACGCCACCCUAAACGUGCCUGAUCCAGUCUGAUCCCGGAAGCUCAGCAGGGUCGGGCCUGGUGAGUACUUGGAUGGGAGACCACCUAGGAAGAGCAGGUGUCAUAGGCA
rnacentral:rRNA from 1 species